AGAAAACUACGAAGUCUCUGAAGGUGUUUGUUUACCAAGAUGUGUUCUCUAUCUCCAUUAUUUGGACUUUUGUAAACGCCAAGGGUUUAAACCGGCAGGGGCGGCAACUUUUGGAAAGCUGAUGAGGCAGAAGUUUAAAAAUGUCACCACAAGACGACUUGGUACUAGAGGACAGUCGAAAUAUCACUACUAUGGUAUAGGGAUCAUCGAGUCUUCCAUCUACUACCACUCUGUAUACACGGGAAAA